AUGCUGGUUGUGGCGGGUAGGCUCAUGAACUAUGCUUAUAAGUUUGUGAUUAAUAAUGGUGGGAGUGACAGGAAGGAUGACUACCCGUUUGGUGAAUCAGAUGAAGCAUGCAACAAAAACAAACUGAAAAAGCAUGUGAUAACAAUUGAUGGCUACUGA
rnacentral:rRNA from 1 species